rnacentral:tRNA from 1 species
UCGGUGUUUAGCUCAGUUUGGUCAGAGUACGUCGUUUGGGACGAUGGGGUCAAAGGUUCGAAUCCUUUAACACCGACCAA